rnacentral:rRNA from 1 species
ACUCCUACGGGAGGCAGCAGUGAGGAAUAUUGGUCAAUGGGCGCAAGCCUGAACCAGCCAUCCCGCGUGAAGGAAGACUGCCCUAUGGGUUGUAAACUUCUUUUGUUAAAGGAAGAAAUAUAUCUACGUGUAGGUAUUGCCUGUACUUUACGAAUAAGCACCGGCUAACUCCGUGCCAGCAGCCGCGGUAAUACGGAGGGUGCAAGCGUUAUCCGGAUUUAUUGGGUUUAAAGGGUGCGUAGGCGGAUUUUUAAGUUCAGUGGUGAAAUCCUGCAGCUUAACUGUAGAACUGCCAUUGAUACUGAAAGUCUUGAGUGCGGUUGAGGUAGGCGGAAUGUGUAGUGUAGCGGUGAAAUGCUUAGAUAUUACACAGAACACCGAUUGCGUAGGCAGCUUACUAAGCCGUAACUGACGCUGAUGCACGAAAGCGUGGGUAGCGAACAGGAUUAGAUACCCCUGGUAGACUGUCA